rnacentral:rRNA from 1 species
GACGAACGCUGGCGGCGUGCCUAAUACAUGCCAGUUGAGCGCUGAAGGUUGGUACUUGUACCAACUGGAUGAGCAGCGAACGGGUGGGUAACGCGUGGGGAAUCUGCCUUUGAGCGGGGGACAACAUUUGGAAACGAAUGCUAAUACCGCAUAAAAACUUUAAACACAAGUUUUAAGUUUGAAAGAUGCAAUUGCAUCACUCAAAGAUGAUCCCGCGUUGUAUUAGCUAGUUGGUGAGGUAAAGGCUCACCAAGGCGAUGAUACAUAGCCGACCUGAGAGGGUGAUCGGCCACAUUGGGACUGAGACACGGCCCAAACUCCUACGGGAGGCAGCAGUAGGGAAUCUUCGGCAAUGGACGAAAGUCUGACCGAGCAACGCCGCGUGAGUGAAGAAGGUUUUCGGAUCGUAAAACUCUGUUGGUAGAGAAGAACGUUGGUGAGAGUGGAAAGCUCAUCAAGUGACGGUAACUACCCAGAAAGGGACGGCUAACUACGUG